GGUCUUGUAGCUCAGCGGGAGAGCACUACGUUGACAUCGUAGGGGUCACAGGUUCAAUCCCUGUCGGGACCACCA
rnacentral:tRNA from 1 species